UAUUAAAGUUGUUGCGGUUAAAAAGCUCGUAGUCGAAUUUGUGUCCCGCGCCGCCGGUUCAUCGUACGCGGUGUUAACUGGCGUGCCGCGGGACGUCCUGCCGGUGGGCCUAAGUCCGCAAGGGCGUCGGCCCGACCCAAUCCCGCCGCGGUGCUCUUCACUGAGUGUCGAGGUGGGCCGGCACGUUUACUUUGAACAAAUUAGAGUGCUUAAAGCAGGCUAAAACUUCGCCUGAAUACUGUGUGCAUGGAAUAAUGGAAUAGGACCUCGGUUCUAUUUUGUUGGUUUUCGGAACCCCGAGGUAAUGAUUAAUAGGAACGGAUGGGGGCAUUCGUAUUGCGACGUUAGAGGUGAAAUUCUUGGAU
rnacentral:rRNA from 1 species